AUCCAACUGACGAGUCUCAAAUAAAACGAAACGCGCGUCCUGGAU
rnacentral:hammerhead_ribozyme from 1 species